rnacentral:rRNA from 1 species
GACGAACGCUGGCGGCGUGCCUAAUACAUGCAAGUCGAGCGGACGAAUCGAAAGCUUGCUUUUGAUUCGUUAGCGGCGGACGGGUGAGUAACACGUGGGCAACCUGCCCUGUAGACGGGGAUAACACCGAGAAAUCGGUGCUAAUACCGGAUAACACGAAAUGUCGCAUGACGUUUCGUUGAAAGACGGCGCAAGCUGUCGCUACAGGAUGGGCCCGCGGCGCAGUAGCUAGUUGGUGAGGUAACGGCGCACCAAGGCGACGAUGCGUAGCCGACCUGGGAGGGUGAUCGGCCACACUGGGACUGAGACACGGCCCAGACUCCUGCGGGAGGCAGCAGUAGGGAAGCUUCCGCAAUGGACGAAAGUCUGACGGAGCAACGCCGCGUGAGGGAAGAAGGCCUUCGGGUCGUAAAGCUCUGUUGUUAGGGAAGAACAAGUAACGCAGUAACUGGCGUUACCGUGACGGUACCUAACGAGAAAGCCACGGCUAACUACGUGCCAGCCGCCGCCGUAA